rnacentral:lncRNA from 1 species
UAAAUUUUUAUUUUAUUUUCUUAAAAUAAAUAAAAUUUUUUAUACAAAUCCUGGUUCAUUCUCACAAAACAUUUUCUCUCUCUAGAAACUGAACUCUUCUAAGCUCCGCCUUCUCUCUAAAUCCAUCCUUCUCUGAACCGUUCAUUUGUUGAUUAGGGAGUUUCUAAAUAAUCUUUAUAACUCCAGCCUUGGAAUCAGCUCAGAUCCGUGAGCUCAAGCAAUGGAACAGUGAAGGUGGAGAAUGAUAGGAGAAGAAAACCGAGUGUGUGAGUGGCAGCAGUAGAUCUGGAUGGAUGGACUAGACAUAGCAGCAGCGGAGGAUAUGGAUGAUGAUUGAAGUUGAUGGAUGUAGUGCUUGUGGUGGUCAGGGAAUCUAGCUCAGAAAGCCCUCUCAAGGAAGGAAGAUAGAGGAGAAGGAAAAGAAGCACAAGUUGAAUGACUCUCGGAGGAGAAAAGCUGGAAGAUUCAUCAGCAAAUAAUCUCUUAAUUUCCAAAAGUGAUUUCAUGGUGCAGCCAAGGUGAGUUUUAUAGGCUCCUCACCCUUUGGCCGGUGAUGAAAGCAUGCUUAUCCAAGAUGGAUCAGGUUCCACGUUUCUAAACAUGUGCUAAAUGUGAUAAGCUUCUAAAAACUACAUGUAUUACACGUUUAUUUCUAUUUCUAAUGUAAGAAGGUUCCCGGUGCACCCCUUAUCAAGCU